rnacentral:lncRNA from 1 species
GGUGGAUAUGGUGUGAUAAAGUGUGAAUAGGUUGUAGUGAUGAAUGGAUAAAUAUUGUUGAUAAAAGAUGAUAUAUUGUGUAUGUGUUUUGAUGAAAAGAAAAAGGGAGGUGAGUAUAUCUAGUUGAAAAAUGAAGAAGAGUAAAGAGAUAUAAUGGUUGGAUAUGUUACUUUGGAGAGAAUGAAAGAAAAGAGGUCUUAGAGCUUUCCCACGCCUUUCUCUUUUCCCUUGCUAUUUUAUUCAUUUUCUUUAAAAAAAAAGUUGAGAGAAAGAGGGAGAGAUAAAUUUUUGUUGGUGGAGGCGCCGAUGAUAUCUUUUUAUUGGUCUCCUUUUUUUUCAAUGCCAAAUGUCACAUAUAUACUACAUACUAGGGUAACAAAACUAAAGCAACUAUAAAAAAUG